GCCUGGGUGGCUGAGUCGGUUAAGCGGCCGACUUCAGCUCAGGUCGCGAUCAUGCAGUUCGUGGGUUCGAGCCCCGCAUCGGGCU
rfam:Felis catus breed Abyssinian Contig101092.1, whole genome shotgun sequence. [26-MAY-2016]